rnacentral:rRNA from 1 species
GAUGAACGCUAGCUACAGGCUUAACACAUGCAAGUCGAGGGGAAACGGCAUUGAGUGCUUGCACUCUUUGGACGUCGACCGGCGCACGGGUGAGUAACGCGUAUCCAACCUUCCCAUUACUGUGGGAUAACCUGCCGAAAGGCAGACUAAUACCGCAUAGUCUUCGAUGACGGCAUCAGAUUUGAAGUAAAGAUUUAUCGGUAAUGGAUGGGGAUGCGUCUGAUUAGCUUGUUGGCGGGGUAACGGCCCACCAAGGCUACGAUCAGUAGGGGUUCUGAGAGGAAGGUCCCCCACAUUGGAACUGAGACACGGUCCAAACUCCUACGGGAGGCAGCAGUGAGGAAUAUUGGUCAAUGGACGGAAGUCUGAACCAGCCAAGUAGCGUGCAGGAGGACGGCCCUAUGGGUUGUAAACUGCUUUUGUAUGGGGAUAAAGUUAGGGACGGGUCCCUAUUUGCAGGUACCAGACGAAUAAGGACCGGCUAAUUCCGUG